ensembl:lncRNA
GUGUGUGUGGGUAUGUGGAGGUGUGUGUGUGUGUGUGGAGUUGUGUGUAUUUGGAGGAGUGUGUGUGCGUGCGUGCGUGCAUGCGUGUGUGUGAGUGUGUAGAGGUCUGUGUGAACGCAACACAGACAUAACCUUCCUGUAUCCCCUCUAAAUGAGGACCUCCACGUCUAAGGAGAAGCGCUCUGAGAGGAUCCAUGGGCUCUGCUGCCCAUCUGGAACCGGGGGCUCUAGGCUAGCUCCUCUCUGGAACCGGGGGCUCUAGGCUAGCUCCUCUCUGGAACCGGGGGCUCUAGGCUAGCUCCUCUCUGGAACCGGAGGCUCUAGGCUAGCUCCUCUCUGGAACCGGGGGCUCUAGGCUAGCUCCUCUCUGGAACCGGGGGCCCUAGGCUAGCUCCUCUCUGGAACCGGGGGCUCUAGGCUAGCUCCUCUCUGGAACCGGAGGCUCUAGGCUAGCUCCUCUCUGGAACCGGGGGCCCUAGGCUAGCUCCUCUCUGGAACCGGGGGCCCUAGGCUAGCUCCUCUCUGGUGGAAUCCCUUCAAAUACUGAAGUUCUGUCAGGCUAUAUGCUUAAGUUCUGUUAGGAUAAUUACUGAAGUUCUUUCAGGCUAAAUAUUUUUGUUAUGUUAGGCUAAAUACUUAAGAUUUGUUAGACGAAAAACGUAAGUUCUGUUAGGCUUAACACUUAUGUUCUGAUAGGCUAAGUACUUAAGUUAUGUUAGGCUAAAUACUUAAGUUCUGUCAGGCUAAAUACUUCAACCAAUUUUAAAAGAGAAGAGAGAAGAUCACGAAAUUUUGCAAGUAGUUGUAGCAGAAGUAGUAGUUUUGAUGCUGUGGAGAGAUUAACAGGUUGGUAGUUUGCAAGAUGAUGUAUACGGUAAACCUGAUGUUUCUUGCUGAUAUUAUAGAUUUUGUAGAAUUCUAGCAACAUGUGUAUUAUUACCAAGUAAUAUCAGUAUAUAUACAUGAUUUGUAAUGUCAGUACAUAUUCAUGAUUAGUAAUGUCAGUAGAUAAACACAAUUCGUAAUGUCAGUACAUAUACAUGAUUAGUAAUGUCAGUACAUGAAUAGUUUGUUUCUGCUCUGUUGAGUGAGUUUUAUGACCAAUAGAAAACACAUGUGCCCUAGAAGUGACUCCUUAGUCUACAGUAGAGUGAAGUGUGAAUAAAUAAAUCCCUGUUGAUGUGUUGGUGGCCUUCACUCUCUCCGGCACAUGUCCUCCCACGUUUCAACUGACACUUUGAUUCUCUCACUGAGGACAAUUCUUACUUGGUGGAAGAGUGUUACCUAGUAGACAGCUGGUGAACAGGUGUUACCUAGUGGACAGCUGGUGAACAGGUGUUACCUAGUGGACAGCUGGUGUACAGGUGUUACCUAGUGGACAGGUGUUACCUAGUAGACAGCUGGUGAACAGGUGUUACCUAGUGAACAGGUGUUACCUAGUAGACAGGUGUUACCUAGUGGACAGGUGUUACCUAGUGGACAGGUGUUACCUAGUGGACAGCAGGUGAACAGGUGUUACCUGGUGGACAGGUGUUACCUAGUGAACAGGUGUUACCUAGUGGACAGGUGUUACCUAGUAGACAGGUGCUACCUAGUAGACAGGUGCUACCUAGUGAACAGCUGUUACCUGGUGAACAGGCCUUACCUGGGUAACAUCUGGACAGGUACAGUACAGGUCCAGAUAAUUAUUCAGUGUUCUGACAGGUCACCCUCUGUGUAGACUACCAGCCAGAAGCAGCUGAUCAUUUAAUUAACAUAGGAAGCCUAAUUAUCCCAGCGCUGAACAUUUUGCCAAAUUAUCUGUUGCACUCGUUCUGAAUAAGCGAUAUUCGUAACACAUUAGAAACCUUGGAAUGUAUUUAAAAGCAUGUCCCCCUCGCUGGAGGAGGAGCUAGCCUACAGUUACCCUCAAGUCAAUGGGAGCGGCUAACAGAAAGCUAACCCCACAAACCCCCCUUCUGGAUGUACUAUG